GUGAAUAGAUCUUAAUGAAAUUUUUUCAGAAGGUUCAAUACCACAAAAGGAAGGUUGGGAUUUAUUUUGGGGAUGAUGGUCCGAACCGUUUAGGAAUUAUGGGCCUAAAAGGGGCCAAAACAAGCAUUUUUCUAGUUUCAGGAUAAUAACUUGUUUACCAGUAUUUCAAUUGCUCUGAAAGUAUACUGCAAUGUUUAAAAUCACAAGUAGAAGGUUUGGAUUCAUUUAAGGGGUUAUGGGGCCAAA
rnacentral:lncRNA from 1 species